rnacentral:snoRNA from 1 species
GUAUGCAUGGUAUGGGCAUUGCAAUAAAAGUGAUUUGAAGUGAUCCCAUGCUUCACGAAAAGACUCAAUAUCCUUUUGAUAAAAAUUAAAAAUUUAAACUCUUAAUUC